GCCGGGCGUAGUGGUGUGUGCCUGUAAUCCCAGCUACUCAGGAGGCUGAGGCAGGAGAAUUGCUUGAACCUGGGAGGCAGAGGUUGCAGUGAGCCAAGAUCACACCACUGCAUCCUAGCCUGGGUGACAGAGCGAGACUCCGUCUCAA
rnacentral:SRP_RNA from 1 species